UAGAGCUGAAAUUCAAUGUGC
rnacentral:piRNA from 1 species